UAAGAGAGUUUGAUCCUGGCUCAGGAUGAACGCUGGCGGUAUGCCUAACACAUGCAAGUCGUACGGGAGUUUUUAACUCAAGUGGCGGACGGGUGAGUAACACGUGAGAAUCUGCCUUUAGGAGGGGGAUAACAACUGGAAACGGUUGCUAAUACCCCAUAUGCUUUCGAGUAAAAUGGAUUUAUCCGCCUAGAGAGGAGCUCGCGGCUGAUUAGCUUGUUGGUAGGGUAAAGGCCUACCAAGGCGACGAUCUGUAGCGGGUCUGAGAGGAUGAUCCGCCACACUGGGACUGAGACACGGCCCAGACUCCUACGGGAGGCAGCAGUGGGGAAUAUUGCACAAUGGGGGAAACCCUGAUGCAGCCAUGCCGCGUGUGUGAAGAAGGCCUUCGGGUUGUAAAGCACUUUCAGUUGUGAGGAAAAGUUAGUAGUUAAUACCUGCUAGCCGUGACGUUAACAACAGAAGAAGCACCGGCUAACUCCGUGCCAGCAGCCGCGGUAAUACGGAGGGUGCGAGCGUUAAUCGGAAUUACUGGGCGUAAAGCGCACGCAGGCGGUUUGUUAAGCUAGAUGUGAAAGCCCCGGGCUCAACCUGGGAUAGUCAUUUAGAACUGGCAGACUAGAGUCUUGGAGAGGGGAGUGGAAUUCCAGGUGUAGCGGUGAAAUGCGUAGAUAUCUGGAGGAACAUCAGUGGCGAAGGCGACUCCCUGGCCAAAGACUGACGCUCAUGUGCGAAAGUGUGGGUAGCGAACAGGAUUAGAUACCCUGGUAGUCCACACCGUAAACGCUGUCUACUAGCUGUUUGUGACUUUAAGUCGUGAGUAGCGAAGCUAACGCGCUAAGUAGACCGCCUGGGGAGUACGGCCGCAAGGUUAAAACUCAAAUGAAUUGACGGGGGCCCGCACAAGCGGUGGAGCAUGUGGUUUAAUUCGAUGCAACGCGAAGAACCUUACCUACACUUGACAUGCUGAGAACUUUCUAGAGAUAGAUUGGUGCCUUCGGGAACUCAGACACAGGUGCUGCAUGGCUGUCGUCAGCUCGUGUUGUGAAAUGUUGGGUUAAGUCCCGCAACGAGCGCAACCCUUAUUUUUAGUUGCCUUUUAUGGAACUCUAAAAAGACUGCUGGUUAUAAACCGGAGGAAGGCGGGGAUGACGUCAAGUCAGCAUGCCCCUUAC
rnacentral:rRNA from 1 species